CAGUCCACGUGCCUAGCAGUGCCUACCAGCCACCAAAAAAACCCAAAAACCUCCCAUCAGAAUGCUGGGUCACAACCCCUUAAUGGCUUGAGAUCCACAACUGGAGAAGCUGUGAUCUUGUAGACUUCCCAGGGAUCAAUGUGAUGAAGACUGAGUCAUCUCUGGAGGUGACAAGAUAGGAUCACUCCGGUGCUCUGGAGAGAAGUGACCAAAGAGGGCUAGAAGGAAGCAACGGGGCUGAUCGGGAGGCCAUCCCAGCAGUCCAGACAAGAGAUGAUGGCGGCUUGGAAUAGGCUGACAGCGAUGGAGGCGGUAUCAAAAGAGGGGCACCUCUUGGCCAAGAUGCUGUGUUAGUCCAUUCUCAUGGCACUAUGAAGAAAAACGCAAGACUCAGCUCUGCUUUCUUCUUGGCAGGCUCCAUUCCCAGGUAGACCCCUUCUGUCUGAUUGUAAGAUGGCUGCAGAACUUCCAGCCUUACACCAUCCAGGAUUCAAGUCCAUUAGGAGAGUCUGUGCCUCUCCCAGCAUCCCUGGCAACAAUUUCAUUGGACCUGGGUCUCUUCCUGAACCAGUUGUGGUGGUCAGUGGACUGUGGUGCUCCAUGAACUUA